AACGCACCUUGCGCUCCUUGGUAUUCCGAGGAGCAUGCCUGUUCGAGUGUCUUUUGAACAAUCGACCCCAAUCCCUUGUUUGGGGCUCGGAUCUUUGGACGUGCCUCUGCGGUGCCUCUCGGCGCUGCUCGUCCCAAAUUCAUUAGCCGUGAUUAACACGAAGGGCUUGUGGAGUGUAAACUAUGCUUCCAUUCAGCACAAGUGUCGUGGCUACUAACGGUCUGCAUGCGCAGACGAUCAUUGUCACCUUUUGGCCUCGAAUCAGGCAGGACUACCCGCUGAACUUAA
rnacentral:misc_RNA from 1 species